rnacentral:rRNA from 1 species
GACAGAGGCCUCAAGCGUUAGGCGGAAUCACUGGGCUUAAAGCGUGUGUAGGCGGAUCGUUAAGUGUCUUGUGAAAUCCCACGGCUCACCCGUGGAACUGCUGGGCAUACUGGCGAUCUUGGGCCAACUAGGGGCAACUGGAACAAGCGGUGGAGCGGUGAAAUGCGUAGAUAUCGCUUGGAACGCCAAAGGUGAAAACAGGUUGCUGGGGUUGUGCCGACGCUGAGACACGAAAGCCCAGGGGAGCAAACGGG